rnacentral:rRNA from 1 species
UACGUAGGGGGCAAGCGUUGUCCGGAAUCAUUGGGCGUAAAGCGCGCGUAGGCGGCCCUGUAAGUCCGUUGUGAAAGUCGAAGGCUCAACCUUCGAAAGCCGAUGGAUACUGCAGGGCUAGAGUCCGGAAGAGGCGAGUGGAAUUCCUGGUGUAGCGGUGGAAUGCGCAGAUAUCAGGAGGAACACCAAUAGCGAAGGCAGCUCGCUGGGAUGGUACUGACGCUAAGGCGCGAAAGCGUGGGGAGCGAACAGG